UCUUGCCUGCGAUAUUCGUUAUCUUUUAUAUGUCCAACCUACUGUUAACAUUAGGGAAUCUAAUGUUAUGUGGAUGUCGGGCCACCUUUGAGUGGAUGGCAAAAGCAUACUAGGAUGCCCACCUGCGAGUCGCAGGUUUGGACAUAUAAAAGAAACGAUAUUGCGGGCUAUAU
rnacentral:other from 1 species